UACAGGGGGUGCGAGCGUUAAUCGGCAUUACUGGGCGUAAAGGGCGCGUAGGCGGUCGAGUAAGUCGGAUGGGACAUCCCCGGGCUUAACCUGGGAAUUGCAUUCGAUACUGCUUGGCUAGAGUGUGGAAGAGGGAAGCGGAAUUUCCGGUGUAGCGGUGAAAUGCGUAGAUAUCGGAAGGAACACCAGUGGCGAAGGCGGCUUCCUGGUCCAACACUGACGCUGAGGCGCGAGAGCGUGGGGAGCAAACAGG
rnacentral:rRNA from 1 species